rnacentral:rRNA from 2 species
UACGGAGGGUGCAAGCGUUAUCCGGAUUUACUGGGUUUAAAGGGUGCGUAGGCGGCUCUUUAAGUCAGUGGUGAAAGCCUAGUGCUUAACACUAGAAUUGCCAUUGAAACUGAAGAGCUUGAGUCAAGGAGAGGUAAGCAGAAUUUAUGGUGUAGCAGUGAAAUGCUUAGAUACCAUAAGGAAUACCAAUAGCGAAGGCAGCUUACUGGCCUUGCACUGACGCUGAGGCACGAAAGCGUGGGGAGCAAACAGG